UCUCUCUAAGGGUGGAGCAUGACAACAAGCUCAAAUAUCACAGAUCAGUGGUUGAUAGAUAGACGCCAAAGGUCCCAGCUGAUGAAUAGAAAGCCAGAUGGGUGAACAGAAGACCAGCUAACUCCAAGGACGAAAGACACUUUGCUUCAAGUAUAAAGGCCAGGAAAGAAGAAACUCAGAAAUUGAACUUGCAUUUUAUUGUCUUUUCCGGUGAAUCACAGUGUUCCAUGGUAUGUCCAAAAUGCAUGGCUUUAGUUUCAUCAUCUUGGCUUCUAGCGAGAGUUCCAGCCUGGUUUGCUCUAGGAGCCAUUUGCCUUGGCCUGGAGUGCAACCUAAUGUGCAAUUAAAUGCAGAACUGAAGAAUACUGCCACCAAAUUCAGAAGAAGCAAACAUAUAUACAUUUACAGAAAACAAACAUCCACACAAGAGUACGUCUUCUGCAACCAUCAAUUGGGGACGUAAACUGGAUUGAAAUUGAUUCCAUAGAAGAAGUAUGUAUAAGACAACAACAAUACUCAUACUUCAAUGUUACUCAUGAAUAAUGUAUUGCUCAUUACAAAAAGUCAUUUGAGUAGCAUUUCAAACUCUAUAAACAAAAGAGAAAGCUUU